AAGGGAGCUUGCUCCCGGAUGUUAGCGGCGGACGGGUGAGUAACACGUGGGUAACCUGCCUGUAAGACUGGGAUAACUCCGGGAAACCGGAGCUAAUACCGGAUAGUUCCUUGAACCGCAUGGUUCAAGGAUGAAAGACGGUUUCGGCUGUCACUUACAGAUGGACCCGCGGCGCAUUAGCUAGUUGGUGAGGUAACGGCUCACCAAGGCGACGAUGCGUAGCCGACCUGAGAGGGUGAUCGGCCACACUGGGACUGAGACACGGCCCAGACUCCUACGGGAGGCAGCAGUAGGGAAUCUUCCGCAAUGGACGAAAGUCUGACGGAGCAACGCCGCGUGAGUGAUGAAGGUUUUCGGAUCGUAAAGCUCUGUUGUUAGGGAAGAACAAGUGCAAGAGUAACUGCUUGCACCUUGACGGUACCUAACCAGAAAGCCACGGCUAACUACGUGCCAGCAGCCGCGGUAAUACGUAGGUGGCAAGCGUUGUCCGGAAUUAUUGGGCGUAAAGGGCUCGCAGGCGGUUUCUUAAGUCUGAUGUGAAAGCCCCCGGCUCAACCGGGGGAGGGUCAUUG
rnacentral:rRNA from 1 species